rnacentral:rRNA from 1 species
GACGAACGCUGGCGGCGUGCCUAAUACAUGCAAGUCGAGCGAGACUCUUCGGAGUCUAGCGGCGGACGGGUGAGUAACACGUGGGCAACCUGCCUGUAAGACUGGGAUAACACCGGGAAACCGGUGCUAAUACCGGAUAAUCCUUUUCCUCUCAUGAGGAAAAGCUGAAAGUCGGUUUCGGCUGACACUUACAGAUGGGCCCGCGGCGCAUUAGCUAGUUGGUGAGGUAACGGCUCACCAAGGCGACGAUGGGUAGCCGACCUGAGAGGGUGAGCGGCCACACUGGGACUGAGACCCGGCCCAGACUCCGACGGGAGGCAGCAGUAGGGAAGCUUCCACAAUGGACGAAAGUCUGAUGGAGCAACGCCGCGUGAGCGAUGAAGGCCUUCGGGUCGUAAAGCUCUGUUGUUAGGGAAGAACAAGUACCGGAGUAACUGCCGGUACCUUGACGGUACCUAACCAGAAAGCCACGGCUAACUACGUGCCAGCCGCCGCGGUAACAC